CUUGGCGCCCAUCCACGAGCUGGAGCAGCCGGAUGAGGACGACCCCAUCGAGACCGCCUCUUCCUCCGGCGACCACGCCACCCAGCGCCACCAGGACGCCGCCGCACCACCACCGAGCUUCCAGCUAUCCCCGUCCCAAUCCCCUCCUCCGGGCGGCCGCUCCUCGCGCACCACCAGAAGCAGCACAAGCGGACAGCAGCAGCUGCGCCCGCCUCCCGCCCACGCGAGCAGAAGUCGUGCUCGAUCCGGUCAAAGGUGAUAUUUUUACACGGGCGGUGGUGCUCGAUCCGUGCUGGAGCAGCGGGAGGAGGAUGGCGGCGCAGUGGUCUUCUGUUCUUCCCUGCUGUCGAGAAGCGCCCCCGGCCUGUUGACCCGCGCGCCCUCGUCCUGGCCGUGGCCGCUACCCGGGCUGCUCGCGAGGCGGCGCAACAUGUCGGGGUCGCCGACGACCCUGAGGAGGAAGAGGAGUGCUUGGUCCGGCGCUCCGGCCGUCUCCUGCACCCUGCCGCCAAGCUCCUCGGAGAUGCAUCUGAAUUUGUAUGAUGAGCUGUGAUCAAAUUCGCCCAUCAUAUUUGUCUCUGCUAAAAUUGAGCCUUGGGUUGCAUCUGAAUUCAGGUAGGCCGUAUGCAUCGUUCUGAUGCAGAGGCCGGGGAGUCCCCCCUUUUCGAAAAAAAAAUCUGAAUUCAGGUAGGCGACAAGUGUUCGACGAGUGCUGGCUGCAGUGCCGGGCAGUGGUGCUUCGACUGCGAGGCGAAGCUCGCCGGCUCGGCGGCUCCCACUGCGCCCGCUCCACCGCCACCAACCCCUUCCAACUCGUUGUCCCGGUUGGUACUGCCAGCAGCCUUGCCAGUCCAAGCAAUCAAGAUCAUCAGCAAGUCAAUAACGGAGACGGUCGAGCACUGUCAUCACACUGAACCUGCAACACCAGUGAGAUGACUGAAGAUUGGGUUGUGGUUGGAGUGAGAGGAGAAGCAAAUCACUUGACCAGUUGAAUCCUUACGGCCGAGCUGUGGCAGGUGAAGGAGCCACUGCCGCUGCCCGCGCCGAAGAAGUGCAACUGCUCCAUGGUGUUCACCCUCAAGGAGAUGGAGGAGGCCACCGGCAUGUUCAGGAGAACUUCCUCUUUGGUUUGAUACACAUACAUUAUUUAACUGUGAUUUAGAGUUAUGAUUAUUUGAUGUGGCGAACAUAGAAUCCUGCCUGCGCAUUUCUGUGAUUAUUUUGUACCCUGAACUCAAGUAAAUUAAGUUGCCUGUACCAAGUUGAGUAUUUAGUUCGAUGAGUAAUUUUCUGUCUGGAGAUGAUGAGCAGAGCAUAAAAAUGAUUGCUUAUCUGUAUACUGUUGUUGCUGUAGUUUAAAAGGCUCAAGAUCUUCUACUCACAUGCUUGUUUAUCUCACAUCUCUGAGCCAAAGUUAUCUCACAUGCUUGUUUAUUCAAUAUUUUUCUGACAUACGCGUAAUACAGAUGGCGUGCCCAAAGUGAAAUCUGACCGGAGACUUCGAAAGAUCAGAGGAGGGCUUAAGGACCUACAGUAUCAUGGUGAUUUCAUAUCAAAAUCGAGGAGUACUCCUGUUCAUUUGGAGAACUCAAACAGCAAUUGAUAUGCAUCAAAAUUGGGAUCAACAGUAGCAUGGGGCCUUAUCAUUCUGGUUUUUGGAUGACUUAGUUAAUCAAAUUCCUCAAUUGAGGAACACCUGAACUUGUCAUUCCGGUCUUGGGAUCAACAGUAGCAUAUGGACUUAUCAUUCUGGCUUUUGGAUGAUUUAGUUAAUCAAAUUGACAUCAAUUGACCUGUUUUUUGGAUCAAUUGCAGAUUCUCUUGAUUGGAGUGGAGAGGAGCAGAGACGAGAGGAGCAGCAGAAGUGGACAACGCAACGGCUGACUUUGAGCUCUUGAUUGGAGUGGGGGAGGCGGCCGACGAAGGAUCUGUGGCCAGCAGCGAAGGAUCCGAAGUUGUGGCGGAGCAGGCAGCCGGCGGGAAGGGCGGCCGGCGAGGGAGCUGCUGACCUUGGCGUGGAAGGGCGGCCGAUGAGGGAGCUGCAGACCGCGGCGGGGAAGGGCCGGCCGGCGAGGGAGCUGCGGACCGCGGCGGGGAAGGACGCCGGAUGAGCCCGGCGAAAGGGAGCAGCGACGGCGGAGAAGCCUGGCGUAGGGGAGGAGCGACGGAGGAAGAUGCCUCCCGAUGGAUUUCAAAUCGGGGGUAGUAUUGUACUUUCACACUAUUUCACCUGUUCGGAAUGAUGCCCCCAGCGACAAUUAUUUCGGAACGGAGGGAGUAGAUUUCAGAUGUGAUAAAGAAGCCAACAUAAUCUAUCAAAAUCGCACCCAUGGAGGCAAUAUUCCUUCCGCAAUCAAAUGAUGCAUCUAUAGUCAA